rnacentral:rRNA from 1 species
UACGUAAGGGGUGAGACGUUGCUCGGAAUCACUGGGCGUAAAGGGUGCGUAGGCGGCGCGGUAAGUCGGGUGUGAAAUCUCGGAGCUUAACUCCGAAACUGCAUUCGAUACUGCCGUGCUUGAGGACUGGAGAGGAGACUGGAAUUUACGGUGUAGCGGUGAAAUGCGUAGAUAUCGUAAGGAAGACCAGUGGCGAAGGCGGGUCUCUGGACAGUUCCUGACGCUGAGGCACGAAGGCCAGGGGAGCAAACGGG